UCUCAACUUAGGGUUCAAUGAGCACUUCCACCAGAGGCGUCGCGUCCACAUGUGCAACAUGUGCACUGCACAGGUGAGAGCUCGUUCAUCCUAGCCACCUACAAUAUGUACUACUUUUAAAGUACAGUUCGAUAAUUUUCUUAAUAAAAUUAAAUUUAUUUAUUUUCAAUUAUCUCUCAUUCAUAGCUUGCAACGAAAUUUUCAUCUAGCAAAAUAUCUGUUGUUAAAUUUUUGCUAUGCAAAAAGCUGUUUUGUGCGACGCACGAUCUGGGACCUAAUUUUUUCUUCGCGCUCAUUGCGAUGCAUGCUACGCAACACUUUGUUCCACGCUACACUUCGUUGCUGUGACGUCGAAAACCAACGCGUGCACUCUCAUCGGGAAACGCGCUGCCUUGUAUCGUACACGCAGUUCUGUCUAUGUGGUAGAAAGCAUUUUGAACUGCAAAUGCAAGUGUGUAAGUAGCCAAAGCGUAAACUCUGGCCGGUGCACAGUCUUGCUACAUCAACCAACUCGAUCAGUGCAAGCGUGCGGAUGAGAGAGAUAAGAGAAAAAUCAAUCUACGGGAGAGAUAUAUUUCGCUUGCUCUUUUUUUACCCUAGCGCCUUCAGCAACACCACGCUUGGGGUAUGAAAGCAGGUCCGGUGCGAUUUUUCCGAUUUUUCAGGCGGCUGUCGGUAGGAAGUUUUUUCAAGCUUAGCACUCAGUCACAUAACAUAUGUGGAACUCGUGCUCAAAAAGUUGUACCCAGAAGGCAAUUGAAGAAUGGUUGAGAGGACAUUGAAAUGUCACAAUCAUUAUACAAGUUUUCUUCAGACAUUUGAAAACAUCCUAAUUGGGAAAAAGGCGCUUGCAGCAAACAAAAGUGUGCCCAACGGCUCCAUUUGUUUUUGCUAGGUAACAAUUUUAAAUGGAAAACAUAUUACGUAACUUUUCCCAUCAAAAUCAAAUGGGUCCAUUGGGCACACAAAUCAAAUUGCGCAUUAGAUAUAUUUUUUUAGUGGAUAAUCUUGGUGUGCUUUGUUUUGUUCCGUCUCCUUUCCCGGAGCGUCCAAUAAUCACUUCAAACAAAAAUCGAUCCUAUUCAAUCGCUCCCGGAAGGUGGAGUGCUCCUGUGCCACUUUUUGUUUAGCACCUCAAUAUAUUAAGUAUGCAUCACGCAUCUCUUUCCAUUCUCCCUUAUUUGUGUAAUGUGUUUAAAAAUACUCUCACGUGCUCACGUUUGUUCUAAUAUUUACUGAAUUGUUUCCAGGCCAACAUCAAAGUUCCAGAAAUUGAUAUUUAUUUUAACAUUUUUACAUGAGUGUCAACACUUCUGUACCAUUUAUUGUUUUGGACAUUUUCGAAUGUAUGACAAAAGCGCUUGUCGCCCCCCGUAAGAUUAUUGCCGCACCAUUGUUGUCGAUGUCGUUUUCGAUUUUCAUCCUUGUCGGCAGGAUAAACAAACCAACGUCAGGGAGAUUUUUGUUCGGUCGAACCUAAAUUGGGUUGGGACUGAAGCUAAUAUUCAGGACGGGUUCCGUUAGCUCCAACUUAGGUUCAAAGACGAAUUCGGCGGUAGAAUAUGAAACUGGUAUAGAACAGCAUUGUCAGCUUAAUCCGAUCAGAGCGAUUACGCGAGUGCGUACAAGUUUUUUUUUUUUGAAAAUGCCGUCAAGGAAGUGCUGUUUUCUCGAUUGCUGCAGCAAUUACAAAACGAGUGGUGUGUCACUUUACGCGUUAGAUAAGCGAACACCAGAGGUGCAAAAGCGUUGGAUCCUCAAUUCAAGUUUGAAUCUGAAUGUCAAACACAUCAGGAAAAAGCCGCAAUACGUGUGCUCAGACCACUUUGAGGCCUCCGACUUUCUGAAUCCCCAUGAUAAAUCCAGAGGGUAAGUUUUGUGUAAAAAUAACAGUUGAUGAGUCUAAGUAAAACGUCUGUCAGCGAAUAUUAUUAAGAGUAUAGCCGGGUAGAAAAUUAAUUUAUUUGCAGCAGACUUUGAACAGAAACUUUUAAUGAGCAUUCCAUUAUUAUUGUGGCACAAAAUUUACUUAACGUUGACUUUACUAACAAUUGAGAAAAUUGAUUCAACGUUACCCCAAAAUCACUCAGUACACGCUAACUCGGAAAUACCCAUUAAUGGGUACUUUCGUACCCAUUUCCAACUAAAGUGGCUUAACUCAUUAAAAGAGUAAAGUCGAUUUACUCAUUAAAGGGUAUUCCCUUUAAACUUAAUAUAAAGGGUAUUUUUCACUCUUGGUGCCAUGCAGGAAAAUGGGUAAUUAAACCCCAUUAUUUUAUGAGCGAUGCUGCAGAUUGAGGUUAACGAUAAAAAUACAUCACAAAAUAUAAAAUUCAGAAAUAAAAGACAUUAUUUGCAACGUAUAGCAUUGAUUUCUUAUAUAUCGUGCAAUUUAUUCGAUCGAUAAUUUUGUUACGCCGACGUCUCGACCGAAGCUCUAGAUGAUCGGCGAAAUCUGCGAUGUCAAUGGUGAAAUUUUUGACUCUGCUGAAAUUUCGAAUGUACAUUACACUGCGAGCUGGAUUCUGUCAGGCAUCGAUCAUGAGCCAUGUCAAAACAAACUGCAGGCGGAUGCAAGAGUGCCUUCUUUCGUAAGCGUAUUGACCACGUUGAAGAAAGAUGCGCGAAGGGAAAGGGCAGGGGCAAAAUUAACAUCCUUUUUAACAUCUGUCGUUCAGUAUUUCAAAGAAAAUUUCUUCACUUUUCUGGAGUCAAGUGCCAACGGUGUCAAAGAUAGAUUGCUGAAGAAUAUUUUGUCAAUGGAUAUGGUACAAGAACUAUUAUGUAAAGAUUGUGCAGAGAAGAUUAUUGGAAAGUAUUUAAAUAUGCUGAUAAAA
rnacentral:lncRNA from 1 species